GAAAUCCUCCAGCCCUGUUAGAAAUGCCUCAGCCAGGGGGACUCAUCUCCUCAAACCUGGGGGACCGAGACCUAUGAGAGGUCACAGCAUGAGCCAGGACAUCGGAGGUACCCAGACAUUGUUAUGAAACUCCGCAUGUGCCCCUGGUGGACGCUGCUGGACCCAGCAUGCACACUUCUCGGCUAAGAGUCACCCUGGAUGAACCACCAUUGCCAGCGGGGAGCAUGUUGCAGCUUUCCCACGCAGUGGAUGAGAACGAAGGUUACGACCAUUGUGUGGGAGGCGUCUGUGUAGCAAUUGCUGGAAUCACUAAUGCAGAGGAUAAAGCAAGCAAACAAAAAAACUUCCAGAAGAAUCACAGAGUUUUAGACCUAGAAAAAAACUGAAAAAUCAUCCAUUCCACUCUCCUCAUUUUACAGAUGAGGGCAUCGAGCCUCAGAGAAAUGAAACUUGCCCAAGACCACACAGCAAGCUUUCUGGGCUCAGCGAACCUGCAAUACCAAAGUUCCACAUUUUGGGGAGUACUACCUCAUCUGUAGAGACGUAUUUUAAAGAAUUGGCUCGUGGGAUUGUGGGGCCUGGAAAUCUGAAAUCUGCAGAGAAAGCCAGCAGGCUGGAAAUUCAGCUAUAAUGUGACAGGCAAGCUAUUUUACAAGGCAAUAAAGAAAAUAAUCAUGCUCCCCAGCGAGUAAACUGCAAGGCCAAAAGGAAGUGGCGAGGAAAGAAGAAUGAAGACAAAGAAUAUGGAGUUUCCAUUGAUUUAGCCAAGUCCAUAACAGAAGAAAAGUGCCUUCCUUCGGAACUUCCAAUACAAUGUGUGAGAAUGGACCUGUUACAACUUGUAUUACUCGCAGGGUUCCCCCACUACCAAGAAUAGGGGUGGCCUUAGAAGGCACUCUGAAGCAAGAAUCAGCAAGUGACUGAAUCUAUGAGACUCGUAUUGAUCAGCCUCAAAAGAAAUGAGUCCUACCUUCUCGGUCUCUUAAGAAAUUCAUUCUCUUGAAAAGCAAUUCAAAAAGAGCUUUCCCUAAUACACAUUAGAUAAACAAUGAGAUAUCCUCCUAGCUUUCUCUUGGGAAACUUUCACUUUAUAUCUUUUCAAUUUAUUCUCAUCUUUUUUUUUGUUCCUUCCUUCCCUACUUUUAGGCUUUGUCGUUCAAAAGCUAGCUCGUAGAAUUUUUUUAAAUCUUUGUAUUCAUAUAUCCCUAACUAGAGCAUGAUCUUUUUCUGGCUGGUGGAUCCUCCCCAGAAUGUUUGCAUGUAUUAGGGCUCCAGUGAAUAGGUGUUGGUCAUGAGGAAGGAUGACCAGCUAAGGGAGCUAAUGGCUUAGACAGACACUGUAGAAUUGCAAGGAAUAGAGAUGUGCUCAAGAUACCUUGGUUGGCGAGGUUUAUUGUUGCAGAAACACACUGGGUGGUAGCCAGUCAACCAAGACGGCGGCCAUCAAUUCCUUACCUUUCUUUGUGUACAUGCUGCACCCCAUGACCAAAGGUAGGGCCUUUUUUCUCCUCCCUUGUAUUUCGACUGGCCUCAUACCUUGCUUUCAACAGUGAAAUGUAACAGUGGUGAAGUUGGACUUGUUCCAAGCCUAGACUUUAAGCCUUCUGUUUCCUACUUCUUAGAAGCCAGUCACCAUGCAAGAAGCCUGCCUACCCAGUAACCAGCUGUGAGAAGUCCAAGCUGGCUACACAAAGGGGGGGACACUGAGGUGCCAGACAGGUGGGUAAGGCCUGCCUGAACCUUCCAGCUCUGCCCAACACUCAGCUGAAUGCAGUGAAUCAGCCAGCCCAGCUGAGAACACAGUGAGCAGAGGUUCUGAUCCUGCCUGGAUUCCAGACCCACAGAAUCCAGAGAAAUCAUGUGACUUUAAGCCACUAACUUUUGCAAUAGAUUAAUGUACAACAAUAGAUAAAACACACAGAAAAGUCAAGAAAAUGUUUUUGAAGAAAAGUGAUCUCCGUAGGUUAACUGCAGUUGGUUAAUACUAAUUUAUUGUAUAUUUCAAAAUAGCUAGAAGAUAAUAAUUAGAAUGUUCCUAGCAUAAAGAAAAGACAAUUUAAGGUGAUGGAUAUGCCAAUUACACUGAUUUGAUCUUUACACAUUAUAUGAAUGUAUUCAAUUAUC
ensembl:lncRNA LINC00460 long intergenic non-protein coding RNA 460